rnacentral:rRNA from 1 species
AGUUUUUCUGGAUGACCUCGGAUCAGGUAGG